UACGUAAGUGGCGAGCGUUAUCCGGAAUUACUGGGCGUAAAGCGUGCGUAGGUGGUUUAGUGUGUGGGAAUUGAAAGCCCGGGGCUCAACUCCGGAUCCGGUUCCCAAACUGCUAGACUUGAGCGUAUCAGAGGACAGCGGAAUUCCCGGUGUAGCGGUAAUAUGCGUAGAUAUCGGGAGGAACACCAGUGGCGAAGGCGGCUGUCUGGGGUAUUGCUGACGCUGAGGCACGAAAGCCAGGGGAGCGAACGGG
rnacentral:rRNA from 1 species